UAGGCCACACUAACAGGAGCCGAUGAUUCCAAAAGCUUUGCCAGCCUGACUGCCAACCCGAAGACACAUUUGCUUAAGUCAAGCAAUUUCAGCAGGUAAAACACAAGAGCAUGCCAUGAAACAACGCAGCCCCAAAGAAAAGAGCUGUGAAAUCAUCAACAAGCCAAAAAGAGGACUGUUAGGUGUUUUCUAUGUAAAUGGAGAGCCAUGAGCACAUAUUAACUUAUUAAACUAUAAAACUAAGCCAGAUUGUCCAUUUCCAAAAUUUCCUAUUAGUAUACUUAAUCUACAUUUGCUCUUCGUCGAUCUGCUUUCUCUUAGACAAGAUCACUGUUGAUCUCUGGUUCUCAGCCCUGGCUGGACAUUAGAAUCACCUGGGGAACUUUUAAAACUCUUCGGAUGCCCAGGCCCCACCCCUAGUGCAGGGAUGUAGCCCAAGCACUGAUCGUUGCUAACACUCCCCAGAUGAGGCCAAUGGUUGCAAACAUCCCCCCUAGUGAGGGAGGGUUGAGAGUCACAGUCAUUGCUAAUUAAGUGGAAGUAGGAGCAGACAGAAUAAGUAGAAUUUAUGGGAGGAAAACCUAAAGUUGAGGAAACACUAUUCAUUCAUUUUUGUUUUCCUGUGAAUGGAGAAACAAAGGACGUAUUCGCUCUCAGCAGCAGAACAUCUUUGUUUAGCUCUAGGAUUGACAUAUUCCAUAGGUACCUAGUUGAGGCCCACUGACUUAAGUGAUUGGAAAGAGACCCCCAGAAACUGGAGGGCAGCUACAGGUCAUGCUGAGAAGAAAUGCCCACGAUGGGUGUCGAAACAUUGGGGGAAAGUGGAGGAAGAUGAGAGGGCAUGGGGCAUCAGGAAAGGCUUCCUGGAAGAGGUGGUUCUUGAAAUGGGCCUGGAGUAGAAGGAUUCCUAGGGAAGAAAUGUGGAUACUGUCGUUGGCUGAAGCCACCUCUUCCACCAGCAGCCCAGAGCUCACUGGAGACAGAUGCUGCUGUCCAGGAGCCGGACCAUCUACCACCUCAAAGCAGCAGCUGUCUGGAGUUGGAAGAGGAUUGCAGACGCACCCAACUAUGGUCCAGAUGACGUGCUGGGAGGGCGCGGUCCACCAGAGCUCCGCUGAGCAAAGGAAUAGCUAAGCUUGCAGCCUCUGCCCUUAGAGGUGCAGCCAGAGAAAGAGAACCCCUGGCCUGUUCUUUCUCUGACCACACCACAUCAGCCUGCAUAAGAUCAUACAGAGGCUCCUCUCACUUUUUUUUUUUAACUACAAGGUGUAGAUUUUCUUCUUUUUUGAAAUUCUUUCUCUAAAGCAGCAAGUUAUUACAAGUUUUGAAUAGUGAGCGGACUUGCCUAAGAAAUCCAGGCAAAGAGCAUUUAAUAAAUGGUUUUGCGAAUGCCCUAGAGAAUUGGUAUGGCACAGGGCAACAAAAAUUUUUUUCUGGGGGGCCGCCCAGUGGCCGAGUGGUUAAGUUCACACGCUCCGCUUCGGCGGCUCAGGGUUUCACCAGUUCGGAUCCUGGUGCAGACAUGGCACCGCUCAUCAGGCCAUGCUGAGGCAGCGUCCCACAUGCCACAACCAGAAGGACCUACAACUAGAAUAUACAACUAUGUACUGGGUGCGCUCUGGGGAGAAGAAGAAGAUUGGCAACAGAUGUUAGCUCAGGUGCCAAUCUUUUGAAGAAAAAUCAGUUAAUUCAACUUAAUAGAUAUUGCUGAGCACUGACCAUGCAUCGGGUUUCUAACAAGUAAGGAGAUAAGACAGCUGCAGAAGUUACUAUAACAAAAGGCAAAGUGAGAACCAUCACAAGGAAAGUCUCAAAAUGCUGUGGCUCUUUGGAGGCAGAUGAGAGGGAACUGGGCUUCCUGGAGGAGGUGGUGCUUACAAUGGGCCUUGAAUCUGAAGGAUUUCAAUAGAGGGAGCCUGUGGGAGGGGUGAAGGGUAGUUAAUGCCACAGAAAGGAGAGCUCCAAAGUGGCUCCUGCUUGCCUGUCUUGGAGCAGAGAGUUGGGGGGCUGCGCAUGAAGCCCAGGAAGAACAAAGCCUGUGUUUGCUGCCAACUUCCAAAAUUGCACGGGCGGGAGAGUCGGGGGCAGGGAGCGCUAAGGUCGUUCGUACAAAGUAGCCAAUUUACAGUUAUGGUUACACUUGAGUCAAUUAAAGUGUUUUAUUAGCAGGAAUUUGAAUCUCUUACCUUCAUUAACAUUUAACAGUAAAUGGAAGAAAAAAGGUAAAUAAAAUAUUAUCUGGCUUUUUAAAGGUCAUUUCAGACUGAGCAUUAUAAACUGUGAGCUGGGGAAGGGUGGGGAUGGCCCUUUGUGUGGAUUUAGUACGUGGCGCCUGCCAUAUGUGUAGAUCAUGAGAGAUACCUGACGGCCGGCCAGGCGGCAGAACGCCUCCCGGCAGGUGAGGCACUUGAGGUGCAUUCAUCAUCGGCAGCACGUUUGAGGCAGAAGGAGCGAAGCAGCAGAUCUGAGGUGUGAGAACUCAUUUUUUGCUUUAGAUCUCAGAUUGUAAAUCAUUUGGGGUAUGCAGUCCUUGGUAAUUACUCCCAUGAUCAACACCUGCUUUUUAACAACCCCAGGCUAGCAGCCCAAAUUGAUUCACCCACAUACCUAAUCAUUGCCCCAAAGGAAAGAAGCGCAAAGGGAGCCCUGUGCCCAGGUCUCAGAGAGUCCACCCGGGGGCCUCAGGGACCCCUGGUCACAGGAGACAGACCACACUCAUGCCCCAAGCACGCUGUGGACAUUUGACAUCAAAGCCUGCUGUUAUUGGAAGCCAGAAGCAGAAACAGGAUAAUUUGGCAAGGCUGUAAAUGUUCAACCUGAAAAGAAACUCCUCUUAUUUUUUAAUUUUCCAAAGUGUCAAGCCAGAAGUGAUUAGAAAGCCAUCCAAAAGCUGCCCGGUGAAUAUUUCAUCCCAACUUGUCACCUUGGAGAUGAUAAGACCUCACUCGUGACGCUCAAGUGUCAUCUGACCCUGGAAAGGCAGCAGGGAAAGCUCUUCCUUGAAAUUCUUUAUCAGAAUGGGUGGACUAGCAGGAGAAGACCCACCCCUCCCACGAUGGAGUUUCUGAAGACUUCAAGGGUUUGGUGAUGGCUGUCCUUGCCCUGGGUGAAGGAGUGGGCAGGGAGAAAGGCUACCUCCACACCUGCAGACACAAACCCUAGAGAACAGGAAGUUCGCUUUUUGAAGUAGUAAUAGAGAGCAGAGUCUUACUCAAAUGAGCAAGCGCUCGUGGGUUCAAUCCUCUUCCUGGGCCGCCUACAUCACUAGGGCCUUUGACUCGAUGGCAGCUGAAAAUAGGGGGAAAUGAAAUCACAGCCAAAUAUUCCCUAAUUUUAAAUAAAUAUUGCUAAUCACAGUGACCGUGGUCAGAGCACAAUGCAGCUGUAUAAAUACAAAGAACAAAAUUAAGAGGAAAAAAGAGGAUAAUAACAUACAUAAAUAUAAAUCAAAAAUCUGAUUUUAAUAUACUAAAAGCAUCUGGUCUAGUUCUCUAAAUGUCAGAGGCGGCUGCUCGCUGUCCCUCCAGCAUGACUCCCAUUAGCAGCUGAGGAGGCGGCCUUCCGUGUAUCCAGAUCUGAAGAGUAUACACAAGCAACUUCUCACCCAUGCUAAGAAGUCUGGGGAUUUCGUCCAGCCUAAAAGACCUUUAGCACCAAAGUGUACAAAGCCACAGUAAGAGGCAGGGGGUAAGACUGUGAACCAUUUUCAGUGUCAUCUAGAGAAGCCAACAAUCUCUAUGAUGCCGUAGAUGUAUGUACUGUCUAUUAUCCAAAAAGGUUAUAUUGGGCUCCUGAUAAUCACCGAAACUAUCAUCCUUUGCAAAACUGACUGAACGCACAGUAAAAGCCAGGCACUGUGUUUUUACCUUAGUGAAUGUCAUCACAGUUCAGUCCUACAAGAACGGUGUGCAGUAGUGAUUUUCUCUCAAAUGCAGAGAGUGAAGUCGGGCUCACGAAGUGAAUGCAGUCGCCCUGGUUGCUGUUCUGUCAGCCUAUGUCUUCUUUUGGUCAACCUGCCCUCUCUCAUGCAGGUAAUUUGGAAGUAAAUAAAUGAAAUGACCACUUAUUCCCACCAAAACGACAAUGCUUUCUUACCCAUGCUGACUGGGAAGCGUUUGAGCCAGAACACCCACCACGAGAAGACUUUCAAGGAAGUUGCUUCUGCCCGCUACAAGGAUUGGUGUUCAUUUAUUCGUUAUAACUCAGACAUAAAAAAGCCUAGGAUCUUACAGGACUGUGUUUUUGAAGAUGAGACUCUGUGAAAGUUUAACAUAUCUAAAAACACAUCAGGGACCUAUCAUAAGAAAACAAAAUAUGCCUACGUUACUCCUGUAAUCACAGCUCUUUUUUGAAAAUGUCUCAUCCAGGAAGCCCUUACAGUCAUAAAGUACUUUUCAGUCCACAAACCUCCUUCAGAAUCAUCCUGUAAAGUGGAAAGGGCAGAGGGUGUUUGCUCCAUUUCCAGAUGAGGACGU
rnacentral:lncRNA from 1 species